rnacentral:lncRNA from 1 species
AAAAACUCAUUGGAUAUUUGGAAAUCUUAAAAAGAAAUAAUAGUGUGGCUUUCUAUAUAUAUGUGUUACUUCUCAGAGACAGUAAAAUGGAAUGACCAAUGGAUCAGAGAUUCUUUAAGUCAAAGGGCACAAGCAUUUCAACUUCCCAGGAAAAUGACACACUUAAAAUUUCCACGAUCAGGAGCCUAAGUAUUGCACCGUAUUGCCUCCUUUGGGCAUCUCACUUCAGCAUCUUGUUGGUUCAUGUAUCAUUUGUAAACAUCAAACACACACACACAUACCCCCAU